CCUACGGGAGGCAGCAGUGGGGAAUAUUGCACAAUGGGCGGAAGCCUGAUGCAGCGACGCCGCGUGGGGGAUGACGGCCUUCGGGUUGUAAACCCCUUUCGGCAGGGGACAAGCCGUUUCGGCGGUGAGGGUACCUGCGGAAGAAGCGCCGGCUAACUACGUGCCAGCAGCCGCGGUAAUACGUAGGGCGCGAGCGUUAUCCGGAAUUAUUGGGCGUAAAGAGCUCGUAGGCGGUUUGUCGCGUCUGCUGUGAAAGCCCGGGGCUCAACCCCGGGUCUGCAGUGGGUACGGGCAGGCUGGAGUGCAGUAGGGGAGACUGGAAUUCCUGGUGUAGCGGUGAAAUGCGCAGAUAUCAGGAGGAACACCGAUGGCGAAGGCAGGUCUCUGGGCUGUAACUGACGCUGAGGAGCGAAAGCGUGGGGAGCGAACAGGAUUAGAUA
rnacentral:rRNA from 1 species